GUGAAAGUAUUUUAUGAAAAGGCUAAGACUAUGGAGAGGAUGAACCAUCAUCCAAUCACGUCUUUGUAAAGAUAAGUGUGCCCAUAGAUGCCAGUGUUCUUCAUUUUGAGAGCACACUGUUCCCCAAAUAUCCAAGAAAUUCAGUGGAGUUGGGAAGUUAAGUUAAGUAAGAAGACAUUUUUUUUUUAAAUCACUGUGUAAAAAUUAUUUGAUUAUAGAAUCUUUUACAUUAUUCUUAUGGUAUUUGCUUUGUUUGUAAAUUAAACUAUCAAAAUGAAGGUUGGGGCAGUGUCAUUUUCGGUAUCACCACUGGGAGGCACCAGAGACAGAAAAUUUCAAAACCUAAAUUUUCUGUCAAAGGAUAAAAAGAAAAGAUAGUAUGUUUCUUAUUAACAGUGUUCUUUGGCAAAGUGCUGUUCGUUUUGUUAAUAAUAAUGAUAUUUGAAAAAAUCCUGAAAAUCUGUGAAGCCACAGGAAUCUGUACAGACCUUUGUUCAGAUUUAGUGAUCAAUAAAGUGCUCUGAACAGCCAGUGGAUCCUGCUAAAACACUGUCAAAUUAGCACAGGAACCAGGCAUAUCUGCAAGCUCAUGUUUUAUUUGCUCUGGCAGAUGCGUCUGGUCCCCAUCCUGUUCAGACAGAUUUCCAGUCAGCCUGAGCCAGCUCGCACUACUCAUAUUCAUUUAUAUAAUAUGGGGGCAAGUUUGAUAUGAUGACUGACAACUUGUAGAGCCUUUGUGCUUCACAGUAUAUGAAAUAAGUGAUUACAAUAUUUUUGGCUCACACACAUUCACGCUGUGGACACUACGGUGAGCGCAUUUUUGUUAACAACCAAGAUGGCAGGUUGGAGAAUCAAGUACUUUGCAACAGCUUUGUGGCUUAUCUAUUGUCUCUGCUUACCUCAUCUAGAUUUCUGCGUCAAUGACGAUUAUCUGCUGCACUGAGGAUAUCUAUUUUUAACUGCUUCCUUGUCCUCCUGAGAAUGAAAAGAUGACAUUGUGAUAAAACAAUUUAGACGUGACAACAACAAGCGUUCAAAGGAUUGCAGAAAAAAGAACAUCUGAAGCAGCAGUGUGAAUUCUGAAUGCAACAUAACUUUUCUCUGCUGGUGCUGUGAAGGCCCUGAACAACAAUCAAUACAAACAGCCAGCGGACUGAAACACAGGUCUCUUUCGCCUGUAGCUCACUGAGUUUAACCAUAGAUCUUAGAUCACAGAUCUUUGGUUUCGACACCUGAUUGAUAGGAGUCUUCCCGAAAAUGGCCUCAAGAGGCAUCACACUACCACCUCCUUUGUCUGAUCUCCUGCAGAGACUAGAUGACAAUGGGAGAUUAUUUAUUGAACUGUAUGACCAUAGGAAAGAAAGAAUGCAAGACAUAGCAAACGAGCUAAGUGCAAUUGCUGCAAAGGUAAAUGAGAUGCAGAAAACCACAAACAUCACCAGAAUGAGCGGGGCAGUUUUGGGAGCUCUUGGCAUUGUGGCCGCAGCUGCAGCUUUGUUAGCAGGGGGAUUAUCAGGAGCUGAAAGAAUGGCAAUGGUAGGGGGCGCUGCAGCAAUUGGUGGAGGUGCAGCUGUCAUUACAGCAAAUGCAACCCAGUUACAGACAGAGAAAAUAAAUUUGAAAACUGUGGAGGGGUUUGGAAGAGAAUUCCUGACAAUCGCUGAACUACUAAAGGAUGUCCUGGAAGAAAUUAAGGCGUUGUCUGAGGAGUUGGAGGAAAAAUCGUCCUCAUUAUUGACUACAACUAGACAACAAGCAAGAAGAGGUCUGUCAGAAACAAGACAACUUCAGCAGCUUCUCAGGCAAACAGCUCAACAGGCAGGAAACAGCAGGGAAGUUAUGGAUGCGACUCUGAGGAAAGUGAGGGAGCUAUUAACCUUCAUUAUCAGUAUCACCCGAAUCACUUCAACGGCUGAGAGUGACGCAAAGUUGAGAACCUGUAUCACAGAUUCCGCCUUGCAGUGUGAGAAAACUGUUCAUGAGUUUGCAAAGAUGAGAAAUACGCUCAGGGACUUUUUGUGAGGAAAAAAAUAUGUUGUGUCUCUGUUUGAUGGACUCUAGCUUGCAGGCUGGAGUUGCGCGCAGACAUUUUGAGAACAAAAUAAAACAGGCUGCAGUGGGAGUCUCAAUUAAAUAGCAGGUUGUGCUAUGAGUCCUUCUAAAGCAAGCUCAGGGGUUUAGUGUUGCCAGAGCCCACAGGAAUGACGCACUGCAAUGCUUUUUUUCCCCUCAGAAUGAGGAUUAGAAUAUAUGCAGUUCACAUAACUCGAUGAAAUUAAUUUAUAUUUUUAAAUGCUUGAAGAUCCACUCAUUACGAAAAGUGUCACAGUGAUAUUUAAGGUGUGUUGAGGGAUUCAUGUCGUCAACUCAUACACCGAAUAACAAACUGUAAACAUUCCACCCUUAAAAGUCACCAGCAGUCGGCCCAGUGAAUUAAGUUAUUUUUUCUCUGACUCCAGCAAAACAUCCUUUUUUUUAUAGUUAUAUUUUAAUAAUUUAUGUAACAUUAUGAACAGUGGUUACAUAAGCUUCAAAACCAGUCACAACUCAGCCCUGAGCAGACUGUCCGCUAUUGACCAAUGUAUCGGACUGCAGUGUUCACAGCUCCACCUUUUAGUACCGAGUGGUUCCACUAGUACCAUCCACAACUUUUCACAGUGGAAACGGAAAAAAAGCGCACCGAACUAAACUGAACUGUACCAUACUGCUUGGUGGAAACGGGGCUAAAGUCAAUGUAUCCUCAAACAACAGUGCAAUUUCUUCCGAAAAUGCAGAUACAGCAGUUCAUAUGACAUUUAACAAAUUAGUGUCCCCCAAAUGUUAUCUACUUAAUGUAAAGUUAUGUAGGAAAGGUUUAGGAAAAGAAACAUUGUGAUGACGUACCAUGAAAUUAUUCAGAGUUCACUUAGUUUCACACGGUUCUAAACAGCAGUCUCUUGCGGCUAAGUCCUUUAUUGUUUGACCCAUACACCACCCCAGCCUGCCUCUUCACGUGGACAUUCAGUUUAUAUACUACUUCAUUCUUUGCUCCUGUCAGCACAUUGGUCACAUGAUCGCAACCUUCACGAUUACUUGGUAUACACUAAUUACUGGCUCAUAAUUAUGUGGGUUAUAUACAAAUUGUGUUGCGUUACUUUUUAUAGAUAAAUGUAUGAACAGUGCAUGAGAACAGCCUGACAAAGUAAACAAACUUGCACUGUGGCCUACAUGUCAUGGACAGAUGGUGUGUUGUUAGUGGUGCUGAGGAGUAAGGACCACACCAGUAUCAAACCAGACCCAAGUGACAUUUGCAGGCAAAUUUACAGAAGCUUAUUAGUUAUGUAGCCUGCAAGCUGGUGUCAGCAGUGCACUUUUCCCAGUUGAAUAUUCGUUUUGUCACUCAUUCAACAAGCAAAGGUUCAGGACAAGGUGUGUGUAAGCGAGAUAAAAAGGAGACUUAAAGGUCCAGUGUGUUGUAGUUAGCGGCAUCUAGUGGUGAGGUUGCAGAACUGAAUGCUUUCCUGUGUGCAAACAUUUAGAAGAGCUACAGAGGCUGACACGAAAAUGUGACUGGUCCUAUCUAGAGCCAGUGUUUCAUUUGUCCACAUUGGGCUACUGUAGAACAACAUUGCGGACUCAGUGGAAGAGGAACCACUCUACCCACUGUAGAUAACAGCUCAUUCUAAGGUGACAAAAACAUUUUUCUGUUUUCAGGUGAUAAAAACUAAUAAAUACAUAGUCAUAGAUAUUAUAUACCAUUCUGCCAAUAGUUUCCCCUAAAUCAUACACACUGGACCUCAAAGCAGGAAAGCUAACAUGUCUUAAACAUAAAAUACAAAUUUUCCAGUUUUGGUUUUUGAUUUAUUUUAUUCAAAUUUUAGAUAUGCACACUGUAGUGAGCUAUUUAGUUUUAAUUUCACUUGGACUCAAAGGACAACUUUUAUUCCUUCAAUCAGUUCAUGCAUUCAGUUUUGCGUCCAUUAGAGUUUUUGUCUUUGUUUUUGGCACCUUCUUUUAGAAGUAAUAGGUAAUAGGUAGGUCUAUUAUAAGUUUUUUUUCAACUUCUUAUCUGCUAUUUAAAGUUUUGUAUUUUGGGCCAGGCAUCACUAACCAUUGCACAUUUCUUAAUUUCUUGUUCUUGUUUUAUCUUCAACCAGUAUGUGUAGUGUUUUUUAUGCGUUUUAAUCCAUUUGUGCCUGCAACUGAAUAUUUUCUUUGGUUGAAGUGUUCUCUGGACUUGCCUCAGCACAAAUCAGAAAUUUUCAAAAUCAAUCAGUUUGGCUGAAAAAUUUGUUUUUCUUAUUCUAUUUUGUUUAAUUUUGGGGCACAUGGGACGACUGUUCUGUUUUAUCUUUUUUUAACUGUAGAUAAUGUCUUUGAAUAAGCAAUAAAAAUGUUAAAGUUCAAAGCAUUUCCUCAUUAUAGAAUUAAAACAAAAAUUAUGGAGAUUUUCUUCUGUCUUGGUUUGAAAAGUGCUUAUGGGUGAUGUUUUACUUAUUUUAAUAACAUAAGGCAUGAAUAAAUGUUUUACAUCCUAUUCUGUUUGCUGAACAUAAAUAGCUGUCAUGGGUGUUAGUCAAAGAACUGUGUAAUCGGCUGAGCCAUCAGUGUGUUAAACCAGUUCAACCUGAAGGAGGUUGUUCCUCUGUGAAUGACGUUUGACAGUAUUCAGACAGUUCUGUCAUUGUUGUGUUAUGUUCCCAAAAUAAAGAAUACAUGAAAAUA